rnacentral:piRNA from 1 species
UCUUAGCCAAAAAGCUGAGAAGCAACGAGGU